GAGAGUGUCUAGACGAUCGCUGCUUUGGAGAAGAAGAAGGUGAGCAUCGUAGAGGACGGCGCCUGCGCCUAGAUGGCACGGAAUGAGCCACCGACUCCUCCACCAGUGGCUGCUACUGCUGCUGGAUUUGCUGCUGCUGGAGGCUUUGAACCGCCUUCGUUAAUACUUUCAUUUACUGCAUGAGCACAGCAAUUUACGCGUCCGUUGUGACCAUAG
rnacentral:lncRNA from 1 species